CAGCAACGGCAGCGUCAACAGCGACAGCGACAGCGACAGCGACAGCGCUUUGCAUUGCGAAGGCCGACGACAAACAUUUGAUGCUGCUGGCGUUUUGAUACUUGUUCGUACUUGCAGAACCCUCCACGACUCGCGAUAAACGGCAGCGCAGCACUGUGUCGAGUGUCGAGUGUCGAGUCCAGCGUAGCAGUCAUAAGCCAGUCGAUUUAUUAAAUGUUGCUGAAAACGCAGUCAACAGAAUAUUAAACCCAAAAUCCAACUGUUUGUUUACCCUGUAAAAAUUCAAGAAAAAUAGUACGCGUUUCUUUACUUAUUUGCAAGCCCACCAUUGGGCCAUUUCAAACUGGCACAUCAAUUUUGGUUUUCCUAUCCGCCACCUGGCGCUGGCGGCGGCUCCUCAAGUGAGUUGCAUACAGCAAAACAGCGCAAACCGACGAGGAAAAGCAACGCGAUCGUCAGCGCAACGAACGUGAGGCCAAAAAGGAAGAGCAGGACGCUAUCAAUUACAAGGUGAGUGUGUCAGUGUGCGAGUCUAUCCGCUCUCCGCUCUCCGCUCUCCCUCUUUCCCUCUCUCUCUCUCCCUCACUGUCACCCUGUCUG